rnacentral:rRNA from 1 species
AGAGUUUGAUCCUGGCUCAGGAUGAACGCUAGCUACAGGCUUAACACAUGCAAGUCGAGGGGAAACGACAUCGAAAGCUUGCUUUUGAUGGGCGUCGACCGGCGCACGGGUGAGUAACGCGUAUCCAACCUGCCCACCACUUGGGGAUAACCUUGCGAAAGUAAGACUAAUACCCAAUGAUAUCUCUAGAAGACAUCUGAAAGAGAUUAAAGAUUUAUCGGUGAUGGAUGGGGAUGCGUCUGAUUAGCUUGUUGGCGGGGUAACGGCCCACCAAGGCAACGAUCAGUAGGGGUUCUGAGAGGAAGGUCCCCCACAUUGGAACUGAGACACGGUCCAAACUCCUACGGGAGGCAGCAGUGAGGAAUAUUGGUCAAUGGGCGAGAGCCUGAACCAGCCAAGUAGCGUGCAGGAAGACGGCCCUAUGGGUUGUAAACUGCUUUUAUAAGGGAAUAAAGUGAGUCUCGUGAGACUUUUUGCAUGUACCUUAUGAAUAAGGAUCGGCUAAUUCCGUGCCAGCAGCCGCGGUAAUACGGAAGGUCCGGGCGUUAUCCGGAUUUAUUGGGUUUAAAGGGAGCGUAGGCCGGAGAUUAAGCGUGUUGUGAAAUGUAGACGCUCAACGUCUGCACUGCAGCGCGAACUGGUUUCCUUGAGUACGCACAAAGUGGGCGGAAUUCGUGGUGUAGCGGUGAAAUGCUUAGAUAUCACGAAGAACUCCGAUUGCGAAGGCAGCUCACUGGGCUUUUACUGACGCUGAGGCUCGAAAGCGUGGGGAGCAAACAGGAUUAGAUACCCUGGUAGUCCACGCUGUAAACGAUGAUUACUAGGUGUGGGGGGACUGACCCCUUCCGUGCCGCAGUUAACACAAUAAGUAAUCCACCUGGGGAGUACGGCCGCAAGGUUGAAACUCAAAGGAAUUGACGGGGGCCCGCACAAGCAGUGGAGUAUGUGGUUUAAUUCGAAGCAACGCGAAGAACCUUACCAGGUCUUGACAUCGAGUGCAUAACUAAGAGAUUAGUGAAAUCCCUUCGGGGACACUUAGACAGGUGGUGCAUGGUUGUCGUCAGCUCGUGUCGUGAGAUGUUGGGUUAAGUCCCGCAACGAGCGCAACCCUUACCUUUAGUUGCUACGCAAGAGCACUCUAAAGGGACUGCCGUUGACAAAACGGAGGAAGGUGGGGAUGACGUCAAAUCAUCAUGCCCCUUAUGACCUGGGCUACACACGUACUACAAUGGCAAUCAACAAAGAGAAGCAAGACAGUGAUGUGGAGCAAAUCUCAAAAAAUUGUCCCAGUUCAGAUUGUAGGCUGCAACUCGCCUACAUGAAGUCGGAAUUGCUAGUAAUCGCGGAUCAGAAUGCCGCGGUGAAUACGUUCCCGGGCCUUGUACACACCGCCCGUCACACCAUGGGAGUCGGUAACACCCGAAGUCGGUAGUCUAACAGCAAUGAGGACGCCGCCGAA